ensembl:processed_transcript 3632454L22Rik RIKEN cDNA 3632454L22 gene
GACUGGGUGGACGCCACGUGGGGCUAGUAGGAGGUGGUUCCGGGAGCGCUCAUCCUGGAUCAUUGCCUUUUUCCAUCUGCACACACGCAGGCCAAGCUGGACCACUCGGAGGUGCUGGAGCUGAUGGCGCGCACGAAUUGAGUUCUAGGCCUUAGGCAAGACCAAAGAGGAAAAGGAAAUCAACUUCUACCUAGUUGAUAAAGACUGGAGGAAAAGCAACUGGUAAAACUGUACUCAUAUGACCACACAUAUGAACUGUCAAUGAAGAUACCAAAGAACAAACUCUUCUUAAGGUAAAAGACAACAUAAAGCUAUGCAUCAACAAGCUGCAACAAACUCCGGCUGCCAAGGAUGGAGUCCUCGCUACCAGGGAUGGAGCCCCCGCUUCCAAGGAUGGAGCCCCCGCUUCCGUGAAUGGAACCCCCGCUUCCGUGGAUGGAUCCCCCACUGCCGUGGAUGGAGUCCCCGCUUCCAAGGAUGGAGCCCCCGCUGCCAAACCUUCCCUCCCAAGAUCAACCGUAUCUCCUCAAACUGUAAGCCAAACUAAACCUUUCCUCCCUUGAGUUCUAUUAGAUUUUCUCUCACAGUGAGGAGAAAAGUAAUAUGGAUGGUUAGCCAGUUUCUAAUAUUGUGUCACCAUCAUUUAUGAUUUAAACAUGGACUGGUUCUUUAGCAUUGGCAGAAAGUACAAAGCUUGUAAUUUUUAGUCCCCAUCACAUAGGUACGUAGCUUAGGAAAAAUCCCACAUUCUGCUGGUGCUCUUUAACUAAGACCUGACAGGGAGAAAACGUCUUCUGAGACUUUGCAUCUCUAUGGGUGCCUUCACAGAUACAUUUCAGACAGCUUCCAUAACUGUUCUUUGAGUCUACAGCCCCAUGGUUGGUAAUAACAGAGCUACUGCGACGUUUCUAUUUAUAAAAAGUAAAUGUUCAAUUUUUCAAUUCCAAGAGACUUUCUUUGUGAGACACAAUUAACCAAGAUCUGUUAGGCGAACAUUUAGAAAGUAAAUGACUCUUCAGAAGGCUGUGGACUUCAUCUAUGUAAAAUGUAAAUUUCCAGGAAAGUCUCCAUGGCACCUUGAGAGCUUAACCGAGAGGUAUCAUCUCAAAUUGUAAUCAUUUGCUUAAAGAGGGGCUGAGAAGUUCUAUUAUUCCUUUGUGUUGAUUCGAUGAACUAAAACAACGACCUCAAUUUGCAAAUGAAUUUAGGAUGAGCUGAAAUGGGGAAAAAAGGAGUGCUGUUCUCUUAUAAGAGAAACAAGAUACAAUAAAAUCUGAAAGACAUGUUUUGUACUGGUUCAGAACUGCUGUCUAAUGUGUGCCAAAUGUCCUACUUUAUAUUAGAUAAAAAUUAGAGGAGGCCAUUGUUUUGGAUUCUAAGCUCCUGCAUGAAGCCCUGACAGAGCAUAAUAAAUAUCAAAAUAUUGUUACUUAUACUGAAGUAAGUUAUCUGACCUUCCAAAAAUGAGACAUGAUAGUGCAGUUUCUCAAACAGGCCAGUUACAGUAGGCAUGAUAAUGAAGCUCUCCCUGUUCCCAAUCUUUAAUCCCCAAAGUCACCUGAAGUAACCUAACGUUAACCAAUCAGUGCACUUUCUUUGGUUCUCUCUCUCUAUCGUCUGCCAAAGGACCUUGGAACAGCUAACCCAGUCUGUUAUUUAUGUGUUUUCUUCAGUUUCUGUUUACCAACCUUCUACUAACUUCAUUGAAGCAUUUAUUUGCUUCAUGAAACGAAGCAUUGCCUGAUUCAAGAACCACAAACCCACUCCAAAACCUUUAAGAUAAAUUUGCUGUAUUCUGCCACUUGACAGCAGUUUCAUUCAGAUUGCCUAUGCACACAUAACUUGAGUAUGCUUAUUAAAUAAUCAAACACAAUAAUUUUCUAGGCUUUAAGAGAAUAUUCUGUGCCAGAAUUUUUAUCUCUUGAAUAUGAUGGAUACCUAUAGAUAUGGAACAGAAUAAAUAAUGUUAGAAAUCAAAAGUCCAGGCAAUGUAUAUAAUAUUUGCUUGUCUAGACUUGGAAGCAACUAGAAACAUGAAUUCACAUGCAAACCAUAUCCCAGGUAAAACACAAAAUUAGAAACCAUGAAGGAAAAAGACAGAAUUGUAAGGUAUGUGGAAUGGAACAAACUUAGCAACAAACACCAAGAGAUAUGGCAAGGCUGUUCAGGGGAGAAUAAACACUGCGAUGAGGAAGAGAGAGAGGGUAGCCAGAUAUUCAAAUAUAGUCUGCAUUUCUUCCUGGGUCAAAUGGGCAAGGCAAAGCAAAAACAGAGAAUUGGUCUCUGCAUUGAGGGAACAAUAUGUACCAAGUUGUCCUGGCCAGAGGAUUCAUGGAUAAUCUCUGGCUAGCCAUAGGGCUGGCUAAGAGCACUAGAAAGAACACAAGGGAAAGAGGUAACAUCUAUCAACAAAGUGACAGUAUUUGUAACCUGUUAAAACUAACUCCAACUUUACAUUCUGGAAAUUUUAGCAUGAGUGAUUUCACCAAGCAACAUCUGCCACAAUCUGGAGUGAAUUCUAGCUUACUUAAUUCUACUUUAAAAACCAACAUAAGCAGAGAUCUGAUUAAAAUAUGCUAACUGUAUAUAGUGAAAAAAUGAUGUAGCUACUUUUAAAGGAUAAAUUCAAUUUUUACACAUAAAAUAUCUAUGGUAUAUAAUUUUUAAAUUUAACUAGAAUAUACAGGUAAGCCCACAUCAUAUUUGUAUAUGACCUAUGUGUGUUUGAUGAUUUUCUGUCUUAUACCAAUUAUUCAAUAUUUUCAAUUUCUUCUUUCUAUAGAUGCAGAAAAUUCACCAAAGAUCUAGCUGUUUUAUUGCUCACGCCUGCAUGUUCUAAAAUUUCUACUUUGUUGUCCUUUAAAUAACAAACAAU